GGGCGGCUGCCCCCGCGGCGGACGCGGGCCACGCCCUCUUGGACGCGAACACACCCCCAUUUCCCCGGGCCCAAGGAGACACGCCUGGCCCUGCAGACAAUCAGAAGGCAGAUUUGUACGACCUGGGCCAGGAAUUCUGCUACAGUGCUGGGAAGCUGACUCAAGCAGCCACGGUGUCCAGUUUCAUGACAGGAUGAGAUGCUUGGUGCUUCUUCUCCAGGAAGUCCUUCCCUUCGUCCUUGUGAUUCUUAAGGACUUGAGCCAGAAAAGAAGGCGUUGGGUCCCGUGGAACUGAAGCUACGGAUGGUUGUGAACCGCUACAUGGAUGCUGGGGAUCCGACUGAGGUCCUCUCCAGGAGCAGCCGGUGUUCCCAACUGCCAUCUCUCCAUCUCUCAUCUCUCCUGGAGCUGAAGCUACAGGUCAUUUUGAGCCACCUGAGGUGGCAGCUGGGCACAGAACUUAUGUCCUCCGUAAGAGCAGCACCUGCUGUGGACCACUGAGCCCUCUCUCCAGCCCCCAGUGUUAUGCUUUGAGUGUGAACAUCUCCUCGGGCUUUGAACACCUGCCCCCACCCCCUCAGGCUGGCGGUGCUUUGGAGGGAAAUUGUGAGGCCUUACUGGCAAAGGUGUGGAUGUGUGUGUGCGGGGGGCAGGCUUUAAAGGUUGUAGGGCUUCUCCUUCUAGAACCAAUGAUAUGUGAGGAGAAGCAGCAGCAGCACAGCCCCCCAGGUGGACCGAACUACUCCACCAUGCCUCCCGCCACCCCACAAGCACUCCCCGAAACCAAGUCAACCCAACCUCUCCUCCUCAGCUUGCUUCUGUCAGAGUGAAAAAUGAGGUGGCCAGUGCAGAGGAGGUGAUCCUGUGGCGUGAGCCCUAAAACCAGGCUUGGUGUCACACACUAGCUACCUGGGAGAGCCCUGAGUAGGAUGGCUUCAGGUUCCCCUUCUCAUUCUGCUUCUCACAAAGGACUCAGAAGCCAAAUCUCUAUCUCUGUUAGAUGCCCCAACCCUUACCUCUAAAAUUUGGCUUGGGUCUUAGUUCUCUAGCAAAAUACAGUGGGAAGGGUUGAGAAUAUACUGAGGUGUAGCAUCCAUGACUAGAUUCUGCCACCGAGAGUGUGGCUCAGUGGUGGAGCCACUGCCUAGAAUCCCCCAGUGAAGGGCUGGGGUAUGAUUCAGUGGCAGAGCCCCUGCCUAGAAUUCCCCAAUGAGAGGCUGGGGUAUGGCUCAGUGGUAGAUCCCCUGCCUAGAAUCCCCCAGUGAGGGGCUGGGGUGUGGCUCAGUGGUAGAGCCCCUGUCUAGAAUCCCCCAGUGAGGGGCUGGGGUGUGGCUCAGUGGUAGAGCCCCUGUCUAGAAUCCCCCAGUGAGGGGCUGGGGUGUGGCUCAGUGGUAGAGCCCCUGUCUAGAAUCCUCCAGUGAGGGGCUGGGGUAUGGCUCAGUGGUAGAGCCCCUGUCUAGAAUCCUCCAGUGAGGGACUGGGGUGUGGCUCAGUGGUAGAGCCCCUUGACUAGAAUUCCCCAGUGAGGGGCUGCCUAGAAUCCCCCAGUGAGGGGAUGGGGGUGUGGCUCAGUGGUAAGCAGUAAAGCUUCUGCCUAAGAUGUAUCCAUCCCUGGGUUUGAACCCCAACAACAGAAAGAGACGAUGUUGUGGCUGAGCAAACCACACCUCCAGUACAUGGAGACAGGAGAGAGGAGAGAGGAGCUCAUGCUGUAAAGAGGUAGAGGUCAGUGAGGACGAAACACAAACUCACAAGAGAAGGUGUUUAGAGUUUGAUGGCAGGGAGGGGCAAGAGGUGGGAUGGGCAGAUGGGUCUGUACCACGUGUCUAUGAAGAAGCUGUAGUCUGGGAGGCAGGAGCUGCUCACUGAAGCCCUUAGCAGUGGCCACUAUCCACUCAGAGGGCAGCUCUCUGGCUUCUGGUCCACACCCCAUGUUUCCAGGGGCCUUCACACAGCCUGUGGCCACACGGAGAGCCAGCCAGCCUCCCAGGGUCUUUUUUCCUCGGCAUAGCAAUGCCUGUGCCUCUCCUCUCUGUUCCAGAACAGC